rnacentral:rRNA from 1 species
CCUACGGGGGGCUGCAGUGGGGAAUAUUGGACAAUGGGGGCAACCCUGAUCCAGCCAUGCCGCGUGUGUGAAGAAGGCCCUCGGGUUGUAAAGCACUUUCAGUGAGGAAGAACGCCUGGUGGUUAAUACCCAUCAGGAAAGACAUCACUCACAGAAGAAGCACCGGCUAACUCCGUGCCAGCAGCCGCGGUAAUACGGAGGGUGCGAGCGUUAAUCGGAAUUACUGGGCGUAAAGCGCGCGUAGGUGGCUUGAUAAGCCGGUUGUGAAAGCCCCGGGCUCAACCUGGGAACGGCAUCCGGAACUGUCAAGCUAGAGUGCAGGAGAGGAAGGUAGAAUUCCCGGUGUAGCGGUGAAAUGCGUAGAGAUCGGGAGGAAUACCAGUGGCGAAGGAGGCCUUCUGGACUGACACUGACACUGAGGUGCGAAAGCGUGGGUAGCAAACAGGAUUAGAUACACCAGUAGUA